AAUUAUUCACUUAACAUUUAACGAACACGACAAAUAAUAAUUCAAUAAUUUACAAGGUGUGAUUAACAAAUACCCCGAUUGAUUGUAUUAAAAGCAGUCUUUAUUAGAUAUCGGUACAAGCAAUUAAUUCCUUUCAAACCUUUUUGAGGUUAUACACUUAUGCCAACGUUUCUGUCAUUGAUUUUCUAAACGAAUCUUCCGAAAUACUCUUCAGACGCGUUAUUAUACUCGUUCAAUAUAUUUAAACAUCGUACAUUGCUUACUCCGUGAGAAAUAUUCUUUUAGCAACGUUUUUUUUUUUUAGCGAAACGUAGUUCUAUAGUUAAACAGUUACCUUAUUCAUUUGACAUGACUUCCUGCAGUUUCUGGCUCCUUUCACAAUUGAAAGUGUUAAUAAAAGGACGAAGAUUCGACGACAUUGAGACGAUAAAGGCGAAUACAAUGAAAUAUCUGAACAGCAUUCCGAAAGAUUAGAAAAUCAUCAAUGGGAGAAUCAUUGGCAUAAAUAUCCAACAAAGUUUGCCUUUAACAUAACCAGUUCGGGUAUUCUUUCAUCACAUCUUUUAUAUAUCAUAUACCUUAAAUUGUAGCUUAAUAAGCUUUAUUCUAAUUUUAUCUUGUUCUACUUUUUACAGAGAAAUUUUUGCAAGUAAGAAUAAAUUAUACAUCGUUAGAGGUGUGCGGAAUCAUGUCGAGACUUAGCUGAAACAAGUUAUAUCUCUAUUCUUCUAAUAUCCUAUCUAGCAUUUUUUCAUUUUUUCAGUUAUGUUGAAAUAUUUCCACGUGUUAACGUUUUAGGUAAAGUUAUACACGCUAAUAGGAAAUACUGAGUAGGUAUUUCAAAUUGAGUGAAGACCAAGAUGACAUAAACAGAAUGAUAAAACUUUGAUUUUCUUCAGUGUCUGAUAAAAAAAAGACGAAUGGUAUGCGUCAGUACUUUUUGUAGCAACUGUACAAGGUGAUUCAUAAAUGUAUGUCCAUACUUCAGGGGAUGAAUCUACACAUUAAAAUAACUAAAAACUAUGUCGUAUGAACAUAUGUCCUAUCAUCUAGAAAACUGUAACGAGCUAGCGAGAAUAGAAUACUGACUACCUGAAAUUUUAUUUCAUUCAUAUCAAUUGAUAUUGCUUCGCACAUGUUGCACUCUGACUGAACAGCUUGCAAGUUGGUUACUAUAUGAAUUUACUCACAAGACAACUAACAAAGUUAACUUCGACGAACAUGUUAUCUGUUUUGCUUUUACAAUAAACAACAGAUUUAUUGUAUGACAAACUUGAUAUUUGUUAGAUUCCCAACGAAUAGAUUCGAUACUUGCUAGAGUGAUAGAUGCUAAGUGUAACAGUUAGGAUAAAAGGUAACGGACCAAACUAUACUGUAGACUUUGUAGAGUGACAAAUCUCAGGAAGAUCUUUUUCACGAUUCGCGAAAAUUGGAAGAAUAGACAAUGCUGUUGGGAGUAACACGUGGAUUGGAGAAUUUGCAAGUUACGAAAAAGGCGGAAAAGGACGAUAAUUGGUUACAGGAAAGUUGGUGAAAAUGAACUCUGUCUACUGGUCAUCCUCAGUUAGCGAUUGACUUAGGUCGACGUGCGUGACCAAAAGUACUUUACAUAUCGUUAUACACGUAGAAGACAUAAUACAGUAGAUUCAAGAUACGAAUCUGUGCAAAAAAAGGAACAGAGAAAAGAAAAAGAGUACACGUUCUUCAUAAGAAAAUGAAAAAAAGAUGUUUGGCGUCAAGCUAUUCAACGAGCUUACAAGGAUAAACCGAAUAUCGAACGAUCGGAAUGCUGACGUGCAGACGUGCUAUUUUUGGAAAUAGCUUCAGUCAAAAAAUGCUGGAAUCAAUUAUUCUAAGAGUCAAGAAGUAGAAUUUGUUUUACCACAGCAACUUCUGUAUCUCUGUAGAGCACGUGUAUUGCUAGCAUCUUCGUUCUUCAUAUUUUAUUUUUUGACCUAAAUCUUCCUUUGAUUCGAUGCAAAAUUUUGACCUCGUUGAUUCAUUGAAUUCAGUAUGAAUUUUCUAAAAAAUUUCUUUGAUCAAUAUUUCACAUACGAGACACAAAUAACAUCGCUAUUUAAAAUGCUAUGCCACGAACGAUAAGAUUAAUUGUGCCACAAAAAAUGAUUCCUAAAAUCUCUUCUUGCAUUUUCUUAAAAGACAUAAUUUCUUUUUUAACAUAGUAUCCGUGAGAUCUUAAAAUCUACUCGACCAAUUGGUUUAAAAUUUGGCGUGCACUUUCAGCCCGCGUAUCACUAUAGUUUGAAUUAGAAUAAAUUUAGUACUUUUCCUUUUUUUCUUUUUGUACCCCUAAAGGUUGAGUUAACAUUGAGUUAACAAAAAUAUCGUGUAACAUGCUUUUUGAGUUUGUCGGAAAGUUCACUCUAAUCUCGCGAAAAAGACAUAUGAUCCUAUUUAUGUUACCCAAGGUGACCUUGGUUUCGAUAUAGAAACAAAGUAUUUUCGCAAUUUUUUUAUUGUCGCUUAUAGUACACUCGACAUCGGUAAAGUACAUGAUAAAAGUUAAUGUUUAUUUAAAUGGAAGCCAGUUAUCAAUAAAUGUCAAAGAAAUUUCUCAAAAAGUGAAGUGAUUAGAAAAAAUUUUUUUCUAUCAGUAAUCAUUAUCAGUAACCAUAUAUAACCAUAAAAAAUAUUUUUGACUAUCACCAACCAAUGUCGACGACAAACAUUUUUCUACUCAUAUUUGACUAUUGUCUAUUGUUAUAAUAUUAAUUAAUAUUAAUAACGAUUAGUAUAUUAAUACAAGCGUUAACAAAAGUAUUGUACUACAAUAUAUUUUAUUAUCACUAUUAUAAAUAUCUAAUAUUCAUAUAAAUAUCUGUUACAU